rnacentral:rRNA from 1 species
UACGUAGGGGGCAAGCGUUGUCCGGAAUCAUUGGGCGUAAAGCGUGCGUAGACGGUUAUUUAAGUCGGAUGUGAAAGCCCCGGGCUCAACCUGGGAAUUGCAUUCGAGACUGAAUAGCUAGGGUACGGUAGAGGGAAGUGGAAUUUCCGGUGUAGCGGUGAAAUGCGUAGAUAUCGGAAGGAACAUCAGUGGCGAAAGCGACUUCCUGGACCAGUACCGACGUUCAGGCACGAAAGCGUGGGGAGCAAACAGG